rnacentral:rRNA from 1 species
CACGUAGGGGACGAGCGUUGUCCGGAUUCAUUGGGCGUAAAGCGCGCGUAGGCGGCUCGGAAAGUCGGUCGUGAAAUGCCGGGGCUCAACCCCGGGACUGCGUCCGAUACUCUCGAGCUGGAGGCAGGUAGGGGAGAUCGGAAUUCCUGGUGUAGCGGUGAAAUGCGUAGAUAUCUGGAGGAAUACCGGUGGCGAAGGCGGCAUCCUGGACCGGCAUUGACGCUGAGGAGCGAAAGCCAGGGGAGCAAAGCGGG